CACUAAAAGACCAGUUCCCAUAUGAACACUGAAAUUAAGCAACAUUGAGACUGGUCAGUACAUAGAUGGGUGACUACUUGGGAAUACAAAGUGCUGUAAG